rnacentral:rRNA from 1 species
GACGAACGCUGGCGGCGUGCUUAACACAUGCAAGUCGAACGGAAAGGCCCUGCUUUUGUGGGGUGCUCGAGUGGCGAACGGGUGAGUAACACGUGAGUAACCUGCCCUUGACUUUGGGAUAACUUCAGGAAACUGGGGCUAAUACCGGAUAGGAGCUCCUGCUGCAUGGUGGGGGUUGGAAAGUUUCGGCGGUUGGGGAUGGACUCGCGGCUUAUCAGCUUGUUGGUGGGGUAGUGGCUUACCAAGGCUUUGACGGGUAGCCGGCCUGAGAGGGUGACCGGCCACAUUGGGACUGAGAUACGGACCAGACUCCUACGGGAGGCAGCAGUGGGGAAUAUUGCACAAUGGGCGGAAGCCUGAUGCAGCAACGCCGCGUGCGGGAUGGCGGCCUUCGGGUUGUAAACCGCUUUCGCCUGUGACGAAGCGUGAGUGACGGUAAUGGGUAAAGAAGCACCGGCUAACUACGUG